GCCUACCAAGGCGACGACGGGUAGCCGGCCUGAGAGGGCGACCGGCCACACUGGGACUGAGACACGGCCCAGACUCCUACGGGAGGCAGCAGUGGGGAAUAUUGCGCAAUGGGCGAAAGCCUGACGCAGCGACGCCGCGUGGGGGAUGAAGGCCUUCGGGUUGUAAACCCCUUUCGGCAGGGACGAAGCGAAAGUGACGGUACCUGCAGAAGAAGCGCCGGCUAACUACGUGCCAGCAGCCGCGGUAACACGUAGGGCGCAAGCGUUGUCCGGAAUCAUUGGGCGUAAAGAGCUCGUAGGCGGUCCGUUGCGUCCGCUGUGAAAACUCGGGGCUUAACCCCGAGCUUGCAGUGGAUACGGGCAGACUAGAGGUAGGUAGGGGAGAAUGGAAUUCCCGGUGUAGCGGUGAAAUGCGCAGAUAUCGGGAGGAACACCGGUGGCGAAGGCGGUUCUCUGGGCCUUACCUGACGCUGAGGAGCGAAAGCGUGGGGAGCGAACAGGAUUAGAUACCCUGGUAGUCCACGCCGUAAACGUUGGGCGCUAGGUGUGGGGUCCUUCCACGGACUCCGUGCCGCAGCUAACGCAUUAAG
rnacentral:rRNA from 1 species